UACGUAGGGGGCAAGCGUUAUCCGGAUUUACUGGGUGUAAAGGGAGCGUAGACGGCAAGGCAAGUCUGAUGUGAAAGGCUGGGGCUCAACCCCGGGACUGCAUUGGAAACUGUCCUGCUGGAGUGCCGGAGAGGUAAGCGGAAUUCCUAGUGUAGCGGUGAAAUGCGUAGAUAUUAGGAGGAACACCAGUGGCGAAGGCGGCUUACUGGACGGUAACUGACGUUGAGGCUCGAAAGCGUGGGGAGCAAACAGG
rnacentral:rRNA from 2 species